AAUGAACUCAAACUAAUUUCAAAUUUGAACUUUCCAGGACAAUAGGAAGGCACUGGAAUUUAAUUGAUUUUGAUUACCUGCCUUAUUAUUAUGCUGCCAGCAGCGAUAGUUCAGUAAUAUCACUUCUGGAUACGGAGAUAGAAAAGGAAGACACGGCAGCACCUACUCUGCAUCUAGGCGCCAAGCGAAUGACAGACUGCGUUACUCCAGCGUUCCCAAAAUUGAUUGUGAAUUUUUUUAACAUUCAACACAAUUUCUGCUGCAAAGACAUGUCUUCCCCCUCCUGUCAGCAAACAAGUGGGACUUAUUAGCUGGCAAUAACUCACAGCCGAGAGGUCAGCUCAUCUUCUCCCAGCUGGCCCCAAGAAGAGUUGCCAUCCCCUGAGCAGCCCAGAGCAAAUUCUUCUGAAAUCCAAUCCUCGCUGCUUUUCUUUGACCCCUUUCUGAGGGGGCAGAGAGCAUAGGGGAAUGGAUCUCUUGCUGAGAUAAACCAGAGAUCACAUGACCUGAAGGGAGAUGCACAGCAGAUGCUCCAUCCCAGCCCAUCCAUUCCAUCCCAUCCCACCCCAUCCCCUGCACUGCCAUGGGACGAGAGCCACCCUCCGUUCCCUGGGGAAGGAGCCUUCCCCUCUCUGCCAGGGGUGCCCGCUCAGGAGUCACUGCCCAGCUGAAGCGCACGUUGUUUUCGUGCAGUGGAAAUUAAACAGACCUGUGAACUGGGACCAAAGUCUCUAUUGAUAGUGAUAUUAUUUGAAAAGAUAAGACUUCAAAUGCAUACUGCACGAGAUAAAACCCGGACAAGCAGACAAUAGAAGAGUAGCUUUUUUUUUUUUUUUUUUUUUUUUUCUUUUUUAAUUCUUUGGAAAGCAAAAUUGCCUAGCACAGUCAGUGCUGUAAUAAAAUAAUAAACAUAUUUUAAAAUGGUUUAGGGCAAUUGGGAACAUAAAAAGAAA